rnacentral:rRNA from 1 species
GCACUACGGUGCUGAAGUGACAAAUGCCCUGCUUCCAGGAAAAGCCUCUAAGCAUCAGGUAACAUCAAAUCGUACCCCAAACCGACACAGGUGGUCAGGUAGAGAAUACCAAGGCGCUUGAGAGAACUCGGGUGAAGGAACUAGGCAAAAUGGUGCCGUAACUUCGGGAGAAGGCACGCUGAUAUGUAGGUGAAGCGACUUGCUCGUGGAGCUGAAAUCAGUCGAAGAUACCAGCUGGCUGCAACUGUUUAUUAAAAACACAGCACUGUGCAAACACGAAAGUGGACGUAUACGGUGUGACGCCUGCCCGGUGCCGGAAGGUUAAUUGAUGGGGUUAGCGGUAACGCGAAGCUCUUGAUCGAAGCCCCGGUAAACGGCGGCCGUAACUAUAACGGUCCUAAGGUAGCGAAAUUCCUUGUCGGGUAAGUUCCGACCUGCACGAAUGGCGUAAUGAUGGCCAGGCUGUCUCCACCCGAGACUCAGUGAAAUUGAACUCGCUGUGAAGAUGCAGUGUACCCGCGGCAAGACGGAAAGACCCCGUGAACCUUUACUAUAGCUUGACACUGAACAUUGAGCCUUGAUGUGUAGGAUAGGUGGGAGGCUUUGAAGUGUGGACGCCAGUCUGCAUGGAGCCGACCUUGAAAUACCACCCUUUAAUGUUUGAUGUUCUAACGUUGGCCCGUAAUCCGGGUUGCGGACAGUGUCUGGUGGGUAGUUUGACUGGGGCGGUCUCCUCCUAAAGAGUAACGGAGGAGCACGAAGGUUGGCUAAUCCUGGUCGGACAUCAGGAGGUUAGUGCAAUGGCAUAAGCCAGCUUGACUGCGAGCGUGACGGCGCGAGCAGGUGCGAAAGCAGGUCAUAGUGAUCCGGUGGUUCUGAAUGGAAGGGCCAUCGCUCAACGGAUAAAAGGUACUCCGGGGAUAACAGGCUGAUACCGCCCAAGAGUUCAUAUCGACGGCGGUGUUUGGCACCUCGAUGUCGGCUCAUCACAUCCUGGGGCUGAAGUAGGUCCCAAGGGUAUGGCUGUUCGCCAUUUAAAGUGGUACGCGAGCUGGGUUUAGAACGUCGUGAGACAGUUCGGUCCCUAUCUGCCGUGGGCGCUGGAGAACUGAGGGGGGCUGCUCCUAGUACGAGAGGACCGGAGUGGACGCAUCACUGGUGUUCGGGUUGUCAUGCCAAUGGCACUGCCCGGUAGCUAAAUGCGGAAGAGAUAAGUGCUGAAAGCAUCUAAGCACGAAACUUGCCCCGAGAUGAGUUCUCCCUGAGACUUUAAGUCUCCUGAAGGAACGUUGAAGACGACGACGUUGAUAGGCCGGGUGUGUAAGCGCAGCGAUGCGUUGAGCUAACCGGUACUAAUGAACCGUGAGGCUUAACCUUACAACGCCGAAGGUGUUU